AUCGCUUCUCAGCCUUUUGGCUAAGAUCAAGUGUAGUAUCAUGUGUCACUGUAUAUUAUCUUCAUAUUUAUCCCCAUCCCCAAAUUACCUUCU
rnacentral:snRNA from 1 species